UACGUAGGGUGCGAGCGUUGUCCGGAAUUACUGGGCGUAAAGAGCUCGUAGGUGGUUUGUCGCGUUGUUCGUGAAAACUCACAGCUUAACUGUGGGCGUGCGGGCGAUACGGGCAGACUGGAGUACUGCAGGGGAGACUGGAAUUCCUGGUGUAGCGGUGGAAUGCGCAGAUAUCAGGGGGAACACCGGUGGCGAAGGCGGGUCUCUGGGCAGUAACUGACGCUGAGGAGCGAAAGCGUGGGUAGCGAACAGG
rnacentral:rRNA from 1 species